rnacentral:rRNA from 1 species
AAUGAACGCUGGCGGCAUGCCUAACACAUGCAAGUCGAACGAGACCUUCGGGUCUAGUGGCGCACGGGUGCGUAACGCGUGGGAAUCUGCCCUUGGGUUCGGAAUAACAGUUAGAAAUGACUGCUAAUACCGAAUGAUGUCGUAAGACCAAAGAUUUAUCGCCCAGGGAUGAGCCCGCGUAAGAUUAGGUAGUGGUGUGGUAAAGGCGCACCAAGCCGACGAUCUUUAGCUGGUCUGAGAGGAUGAUCAGCCACACUGGGACUGAGACACGGCCCAGACUCCUACGGGAGGCAGCAGUGGGGAAUAUUGGACAAUGGGCGAAAGCCUGAUCCAGCAAUGCCGCGUGAGUGAUGAAGGCC